UACGUAGGUGGCAAGCGUUGUCCGGAAUUAUUGGGCGUAAAGCGCGCGCAGGCGGUCCUUUAAGUCUGAUGUGAAAGCCCACGGCUCAACCGUGGAGGGUCAUUGGAAACUGUGGGACUUGAGUGCAGAAGAGGAGAGCGGAAUUCCACGUGUAGCGGUGAAAUGCGUAGAGAUGUGGAGGAACACCAGUGGCGAAGGCGGCUCUCUGGUCUGUAACUGACGCUGAGGCGCGAAAGCGUGGGGAGCGAACAGG
rnacentral:rRNA from 1 species